rfam:Triticum urartu cultivar G1812 contig703565, whole genome shotgun sequence.
AUAGUAUUUCCUUCGUCCCAAAAUUAUUGUCUUACAUUUGUCUAAAUACGGAUGUAUCAAGUCACGUUUUAGUAUUAGAUACAUCCGUAUCUAGACAAAUUUAAGACAAGAAUUUUGGGAUGGAGGGAGUAUAUG